rnacentral:rRNA from 1 species
AUGCUUAAGUCUGUCCGAAUCAUGUUAGAAAUUGCCGCAUUUUAUGAAAUCUGGCAAAUGGAUAACAAAACUGCAAUCCUUAAUAGAUUUCUUAAAGAAGAGUUGCAUAUGAUGCAACCACAAGGUUUUGUCAACCCUAAAGGUGUUAACAAAAUAUGCAAGCUCCAGCGUUCCAUCUAUGGACUAGUGCAAGCAUCUCGGAGUUGGAAUAUAUGCUUUGAUGAUUUGAUCAAAGCAUGUAGUUUUAUACAGACUUUCGGUGAAGCCUGUAUUUACAAGAAAGUGAGUGGGAGCACUACAACAUUUCUGAUAAGUAUAUGUGAAUGA